UACGUAGGUGGCGAGCGUUAUUCGGAUUUACUGGGCGUAAAGGGUCCGUAGGGGGAUUGUUAAGUUUGAUGUGAAAUUUCGAGGCUCAACCUCGAACCUGCAUUGAAAACUGGCAGUCUAGAAUUCGGUAGAGGUAAGUGGAAUUUGUGGUGUAGCGGUGGAAUGCGUAGAUAUCACAAGGAACAUCAAAGGCGAAAGCAGCUUACUGGGCCGAUAUUGACCCUGAGGGACGAAAGCUAAGGUAGCGAAAAGG
rnacentral:rRNA from 1 species